GGGGAUUAAAGUUCAUGAACUGGUAAAUAUUUGCUGGUUAUUGAUUGAGCUCUUCUUUUCUUUUCUUUUUUUUCUCUAGAAUCUCAUAACUCUGGAAACAGUAUGUUCUUUAGAAUGUAACUGCAAAAACUGUGAAUCUUCUAGGCUUCUACCAACCUUCUUGCAUUUGGCCAUCCAAAAUUUUGAAACACUAAAUGAUCUGGGUUACACAUGAUGCUAGUAGCUUUGAGAGCCUUUUUUUUAUCAACUAAUCAAUGCAUGUCAAUAAAAUUAACUAAAUACCUUCUGAACUAAAAAGGUUAUUCUAAUUGUCUCAUCCUCAUUUUGACUGUUAUAUUUAAUUUUCUUUCCUUAUAUAUUCUAUUUAACUUUCAAAUUAACCUGCCCUUUCAAGAUCUCAUCAUUCACAAGAAUAAAAUAUAGCAAUUUUUCCCAAAGAUAAGACUUGUAUUUAACAUCAUUUAUAUAUUUUCAGCAGCGAGCAUAUGCAUCACAAUUUAUGGCCAAUUUUAGAUAUAAUUUCUUCCAUAUUGCAGUCCAAUUUCUACAGUAAAUUUUGUGAUUGGUAAAGUGGGGGCAUAUAUGUUCCUAUAUGUAUAAUUUGAUGUAAAUUUGUGCUGCAUGUUGCACCUUGGACCUCAACAAUUCACUUUGCAGGUUGUGGACAAGGAAAGAGAAAG
rnacentral:misc_RNA from 1 species